GAUGAACGCUAGCGGGAGGCCUAACACAUGCAAGCCGAGCGGUAUUUGUUCUUCGGAACAGAGAGAGCGGCGCACGGGUGCGGAACACGUGUGCAACCUGCCUUUAUCUGGGGGAUAGCCUUUCGAAAGGAAGAUUAAUACCCCAUAAUAUAUUGAGUGGCAUCACUUGAUAUUGAAAACUCCGGUGGAUAGAGAUGGGCACGCGCAAGAUUAGAUAGUUGGAGAGGUAACGGCUCACCAAGUCAAUGAUCUUUAGGGGGCCUGAGAGGGUGAUCCCCCACACUGGUACUGAGACACGGACCAGACUCCUACGGGAGGCAGCAGUGAGGAAUAUUGGACAAUGGGUUAGCGCCUGAUCCAGCCAUCCCGCGUGAAGGACGACGGCCCUAUGGGUUGUAAACUUCUUUUGUAUAGGGAUAAACCUACUCUCGUGAGAGUAGCUGAAGGUACUAUACGAAUAAGCACCGGCUAACUCCGUG
rnacentral:rRNA from 1 species